AAGGGAAAGGAAAAAAUAUCUAAAUUAUUUUUGCUCCUCUCCCCCCAGAAUCAGCCAGAAGAAAUUGCGUGUCAAUAUUGUGGCUCUGCUACUGUUAACAAUGAUUAUGAAAAUAAGAGGUUGUGGGAAUCUGCGGCAUAUGUCAGGACAAAAAAUACAGAGAAUGCCCCGCAGAAAGGACAAGUUGCAGCCGUACAAAAGAGAGCAGAGGAAAAUGUGGAGUUAAAAGCUAAAGGCUUUUUAGAGUUAUUGAAAAGCUUUCUGUUCCCACCGAUACUACAGCAAAUUUUUACUGGAAGCAGUCAGCCCUCCUAAAGCAUUAUCACCACCAGAAAAUUGUUGCUGCCUGUAUCUUUUGAAUGACAUGAAUGAUUUCUAAAGAACUCAGCUUUCUAACUUAGUGCAAUUGUUUUAGAAGUUGAGGGUGCUUAAACCUCUCCUGUAUACUUGGUGUCUGAACCCUCAUUUCAUCUUUGAGUGCUUAUGUUGGUUUUGAAACUUACUCAUACAUGUAUUGCCAGAAUUUAAAUGGUUAAAGUGAGUAUUUGAAUUCAUAGUUCUUUCUUUUCAAGACACUGUGUUUGUGUUUUAUUGGAAUAAACUAUCAUAAUUUGCAGUUACUAAGACACAGCUCUUCAAUAUUUUUCA